UACGUAGGGGGCUAGCGUUGUCCGGAAUCAUUGGGCGUAAAGCGCGCGUAGGCGGCCCGGUAAGUCCGUUGUGAAAGUCAAAGGCUCAACCUUUGAAAGCCGAUGGAUACUGCCGGGCUGGAGUCCGGAAGAGGCGAGUGGAAUUCCUGGUGUAGCGGUGGAAUGCGCAGAUAUCAGGAAGAACACCGAUGGCGAAGGCAGCGCUCUGGGACGGUACUGACGCUGAGACGCGAAAGCGUGGGGAGCGAACAGG
rnacentral:rRNA from 1 species